GAAACGGACGCUAAUACCGCAUACGUCCUACGGGAGAAAGCGGGGGAUCUUCGGACCUCGCGCCAUUAGAUGAGCCUAGGUCGGAUUAGCUAGUUGGUGAGGUAAUGGCUCACCAAGGCGACGAUCCGUAACUGGUCUGAGAGGAUGAUCAGUCACACUGGAACUGAGACACGGUCCAGACUCCUACGGGAGGCAGCAGUGGGGAAUAUUGGACAAUGGGCGAAAGCCUGAUCCAGCCAUGCCGCGUGUGUGAAGAAGGUCUUCGGAUUGUAAAGCACUUUAAGUUGGGAGGAAGGGUAGUAACCUAAUACGUUGCUACUUUGACGUUACCGACAGAAUAAGCACCGGCUAACUUCGUGCCAGCAGCCGCGGUAAUACGAAGGGUGCAAGCGUUAAUCGGAAUUACUGGGCGUAAAGCGCGCGUAGGUGGUUCAGUAAGUUGGAAGUGAAAUCCCCGGGCUCAACCUGGGAACUGCUUUCAAAACUGCUGAGCUAGA
rnacentral:rRNA from 2 species